UACGAAGGGGGCUAGCGUUGCUCGGAAUCACUGGGCGUAAAGCGCACGUAGGCGGCUUUUUAAGUCAGGGGUGAAAUCCUGGAGCUCAACUCCAGAACUGCCUUUGAUACUGGGAAGCUUGAGUCCGGGAGAGGUGAGUGGAACUCCGAGUGUAGAGGUGAAAUUCGUAGAUAUUCGGAAGAACACCAGUGGCGAAGGCGGCUCACUGGCCCGGUACUGACGCUGAGGUGCGAGAGCGUGGGGAGCGAACCGG
rnacentral:rRNA from 1 species